rnacentral:lncRNA from 1 species
GGUGUUUGGUUGUUUGGUGUUGUGGGACUGGAAAAAGAGAACUGUUGUCCCUCCUGAGCGGAGCUCAGGUCAUUAGGGGUAUUGACAAGAUUGUUUUCGUUGUGGUUAGCCAUCGUGGAUCUCAGUGGGUAUUAUCAGAGUGGAACUCCGGCGAUGAAAAGAUCUCCUUCGUUUCCCACAGACGGCGCCAAUUGAUGAUCUGAGAUCCAGAAAAUGGGGUUUUACAAAGGUUCUGUAAAACUGGAAAAAGAUUAGGCCUAGAGGAGAACAUUU